rnacentral:sRNA from 1 species
GCUGGGUGAGGUUGUGCAUGCCUGUAAUCCCAGCAGCUUGGGAGGCUGAGGCAGGAGGAUUGUGAGUUCAAAGCCAGCUUCAGCAAAAAGUGAGGUGCUAAGCAACUCAGUAAGACCCUGUCUCUA